rnacentral:lncRNA from 1 species
UGUUUUGGGGGAGAACACAUCUGAAAAGUGGCCGAUUUUGUUUUUUUUUCCCCCAUUUUGGCCAACGAGGAGAUGGGAAACCCAACUGGUGUUGGGAGACCCAACUAGCGAUGUUUUAGGGGGAAAACGCACCCCCACGGCGCCCGAUUUUGGGUUUUUUCGCCCUAUUUUGGCCAACGAGGAGAUGGGAGACCCGACUAGUGGUGUUUUGGGGGAAAACGCAUCUCAAAAGUGGCCGAUUUUGGGUUUUUUCACCCCAUUUCGGCCAAUGAAGAGGCAGCACUCACGCUAGAGGUCGAGACACCCAACUGAUGCGGUUUUGGUGGCAAACACCCCCCCCCAAGUGCCCAAUUUUGGGUUGUUUCCCCUCAUUUUGGCCAACGAGGAGAUGAGAGACCCAGCUAGUGGUGGUCUGGGCAAAACGCAUUGGAAAAGUGCCCGAUUUUGGGUUGUUUCCCCCCAUUUUGGCCAACGAGGAGAUGGGAAACCCAACUGGUGUUGGGAGACGCAACUAGCGACGUUUUAGGGGGAAAACACACCCCCCCACGGCGCCCAAAUUCGGGUUUUUUUUCCCCUCGUUUUUGGCCGCCCAAGAAGCCGGCACUGCCGGUAGAGCCUUGGCCAACCCAACCGAAACCCAACGGACGCUCUUCUUCGGCGAACCAAAGCCGGCCAACAUCGCCCUUCGCCCUUCUACCGGAGCACCGAGGGCGCGCGUCCGUCCGUCCGUCCGUCCGUCCUUCCAUCCCGUUCGGAUGGAAGAGGAAGAGGAAGAGCGCAGGUUAAAGGCUGAUGCUGCGGUGAUGCCGGAAGCGUCCGUGCCCGCCGCGCUGCGGCGCCGGCUCCUCCGUCUCUUCGCCAUGGAGGCUGGUGGCGUCCGAGAGGCCGAGCAAAUGCUCGACGGAAUCGAAUUUCUGAAGAUCGGAGGCGGCGGGCGUGGAUCUGCUCGCUGAUCUGCUCCAGGUUGCGGAGGGCCACUGAGUAGCGCGUCUUCGCUUGGGCCACGCGCUCCUCCAGCGCCGUCACCUUGGCUUUGUGCUCCUGGGGGAAGGGGACGGAGAGAGGUCGGCGCCUGGUUGGGGUUGGCCAACGUUGGGUUGGGUUGGGUUGGUCCCAGCCCAUGGAAUGGGGUC